UAAACGCGCAUGCGACAUAUAGACAGCGCAUGAUUCUUUCGCGUUUUACUAAAGAAUUCCGUGGAGGGGAUCAUUUCAAUAGGUCUUUAACUAUUUUUCAAUACCUGACCCUGGACAGGA
rfam:Ciona intestinalis ciona0200, whole genome shotgun sequence.